UGUGUCAUUGUAUCCCUAGGAGUUCAGUUCCGGACUGGGGCGCAAAAUGGAACAAGUUCUCAACGUAAAGCAUAAUAAGGAGACUUGCAAUAAUUAAGCGCAUUUUAUUUCAGUACCUGUACGAACUGACGAGAGAGAGAACACGAACCUCCCACUAAGUGUAUAAUUGGUUUCACCCAAGAAGAAAGGUCAUGUGAGGACACACGAAGAAGGUGGCAAACCAGGAAGAGAAUUCUCACCAGAAACCAACCCUGCUGGCACCUUUAUCUUGGACUUUCAACCUCCAGAACUGUGAGAAAUAAAAAAUACAUUUCUGUUUUUAAGCCACCCAGUCUGCGGUAUCUUGUUAUGGCAGAGUAGAUUAAUACAGGAGUCAUCAUUGUGGAAAUGGUUUCUAAAGCCAUGCGUCUGGGUGAGAUCUCCAACAGAGUGAGCAUAGACAAAGAAGAGGACAGGACAAAGGACUGAGACCCCGGGCCCCCAACAUUAAGAGACAAGGAACCAACAAUGGAGCCUGAGAGGGAGCAGCUGGUGAGCUACUUUGAGCUGGAUUUCUGUCACUUACAACUGAAAGAGACCUGGCCAAUUCCAGGCAGAAACACAGUGUCAUGGGAAAGUUGGAAAGGGACAGUGGUUGGAGUGAUGAAGACUUGUCCGGGAAUCCUUUCUUGUGGAGGUGGGUUUGAGCAGCGUUUUGAAAAAUGAAGAGGAUUUUGAUGCAUAAAGAAGAAGCGAUCUUUCCAGUGAGGGGAGCAUCUCAGGCAGUGGGACAGUGCCCGGAAUGGCACAGUGCAGCUGGAGAGAGGAGGGGGCUAGAGAAGUGGUGGGCAAGGGGCUGGCAAGGAGGGAUAUGCCCGAAUUGUACAGAAAUUCAGUCUAUUCCUCUGCCUGUGUCCUCCUUCUGUGGAAGGGUGCCCUUUAUCAGUGAAUUUACCCACAACCAUUUAGUGAGCACCUACUACGUGCCAGGUGAGGUAGCAGUGGGAAACACAGGCAAAGUCUAUGCCCUCCUGUAGCUUCCGUUCUAGUCAAAAACUCUCUGCAGAGUCUUUCCUGACCAUCCCUACCGCAAGGUGCCUUAGCUGCUUCCUCUUCUGUGUUCCCUCAGCCCCCUGCCUCUUCUACCAUCAGAGCCCGGAGCAUGCUGUCACACAUGGCUGCUUGAUUUGGUUUGAUUUUUUACAAGUCUCUCC